UCCUCCUUAGGGUGCAGUCACUAUCUGGACUUCCACAUACUGGGUUAAAUGAGUCUUUGCCUGUUGGGAGUGAUGCAUCUGUUCUGGGUGGCACUGUGCUUCCUCUUGCAUGGGGCAAGUGGCUUCAUGAUCCACAACACCGUUGAAAGCCUCUGUUUACAAGACUCCCCAGCAGGCACUGCUGUCACCCUCCGAAAGUGUAACCUUGACGAUGACCUCCAGCAGUGGGCGUGGCAGGAUCAGCGCUUCCUGUGGAACAUCGGCACGCAGCGCUGCCUCUCGGCGUUCCAGGAGCACCCGGUUCUCACCGUGGCCUGCGACGGCGGAGAGAACCUCCAGUGGGGCUGCGAGAACCAGAGGCUCCUGAGUCUGAACCACAGCCUGGAGCUGAGCGCUGAGAGGGGCAGACUCAGGCUGGCCCCAGGGGGCCACACUUCCAGGUGGAGGUCCCUGGAUAAGGGAGAUAUCUGCGAGGAGAGGCUCAGAUCCAAAAGGGCAUCGAAUGAGUUUGAGGGGGAGUUUACGGAGGACACGCCAGUGGAGAGCAGCAUGAACGAGGAGCAGAGGGAAUAUCUCAAGUGGUUCUAUCGCACCGAAGAACAGGGAAAAUGGACGUUUGCUGUCCUGGCUCUGUCGUUCGCUGCGCUGCUACUGGGCUGUAUCCUGCUGGUCACGGGCAUGAUGGGUAGCAGGAGCAGAAAGAAGAUAGCCAAGUACAAAGCGGUGGCCCGGGCUCUCAAGCCUCAGAUGGAGGAGCUGCAGGUCAUCACCGAGGCAACGGAGACAAAGGAAGAACAUCAGGUCUUCAUCCCAACCCCCACCAUGGUGAGGGGCACCCCCAACAACGCCCCCCUGGCCGCCGAGAACGGGCAGCUCAAGCCGGGAGACAUCAUGGUCAGCUGGAAGGACGGGAAAGUGAGCAGCCUCUACACCGAGAGAGGAGGGGAGGGAGACGGGGAGGCAGCGGAGGAGAAGGCGAUGGAGAUCGAACGAGAGGAACAGGCAGCGGAGGAGAGGGUGAUGGAGAACGAAGGAGAGGCAGAGGCGGAGGUGGAGGAAGGAGGAGUGGUGGAGGGGGAGGAAAAGGUGUAAGGUGAUGUCCGCACACCUGGAUGUCUCCACACCUGUUCUGUUGGACACCAUCACUUCUAGGGCAAAUCCAGAGAUCUGCACACCUAGACAUCAGAACACCUGGGUGCUCCCUCUACAGAGAGUCAUAUGAACACUCUCAGAUCUGAUCACAGACUCUGACUAACCGCACACGUGGAUACACAGAAUCUGGUCUAUGCAGAAACCUAAGUGUGUGUGUGUGUAUACAUGUAUGUGCAUGUGUUUGUGAGUGUGUGUGCAUAUGUGCACGUCUAUGUGUGGGUGUGUGUGUGUGUGUGUGUGUGUGUGUAUGUGUCUGCACGUGUAUGUGUGUGUGUGUGUGUCUGUGUGUAUGUGUGUCCAAUGUCAAUGUAAACCAAAGGUCUAACCUCACAAGGGUUUGUUAAUUUACUCAUACCAUUCUGAAAGUCAAACACGUGUUGUUAGCCAACUCAAAAUCCAUAAUGAGUCUCGAGCUCAUGUGGUACUUGUGUCAAAGACUCCCGUAUACGUUGAUUUUGACAUGACUGAGUGUCCCUGACCUCCAAUGUGUGUUUAGUUGGGGCACUUGAACAGAACAGAGCUGCUGGGUGCAGAGUUGAGGGUGUAUGGCUGCACAGAUCGCUAUGGUGUAGACCUGUAUUUAAAAUAAUGUAUUCCUGAUCAGUAGGGGCUCCUGGGCCAGAUGUAAUGAAUGUGUUUGAUCAUAUUUUAAGAUUCACUCUACACUGUGACGGUGCAAAUUAAGCAUUUAUAUCACAACAGCAUUUUCUUGUCUCGCCACAGUAAAAAUGAACUUGUCAGUCUUCUCUCAUUUAUAGUGUUUUAUUGCAGGCUACCUAAGGUUUGGAACCACCUGAUUUUGGUCAGAGCGGUUAAAUUAGGUUUUUGACAAGUAGACAUCUGACUGUCUUUGUCUGUCUUUAAAUCAGCUGGUAUCUGUCUUUUGUGCUCAUUGUAAAGCACUGAUUCUAGAGCAAUGGUAUAUACAUAAAGUCAUUAC
rnacentral:lncRNA from 1 species